rnacentral:tRNA from 1 species
GGUGGCUCAGUGGUAGAGCACCUGCCUUGCAUGCAUGAGGCCCUAGGUUCAAUUCGCCAGCACCA